CUUGUGUCGUCAACUCGGGUUUUGCAUUGGCGUAAAUGCCAUAGCUAUCAGCACCUUACUUUGGGUGCGCUCGACUGGGUAGCUUAGUCCCUGCGGCACUCGUCUACCACUACAGUGAUACCUUCCUUCAGAUAUGAUUACUUUGUCCCUGUGGACUCGUCUAC